rnacentral:sRNA from 1 species
GAAUCGGUGAGGAGAAAUGCUCACGGGGUGGAAACAAGGACACACUCCCGCAGAGUUUUCAAAA